CGCUGGGUGGCCUAGUGGUUAGAGCGUCCACCUCAGACCAGGGUUGUCGUGGGUUCGAACCCCUACUGAGUGA